ACGGACGUGGUGUAGCGGAACACGGCUUCUGAUACUGCUUAAUUUCUAUGGCCAAAUUAGUAGGCAAUUUCGGGUUCGAAUCCCGGCGUCUGAA